UUGAUAAUUGUGAAUAUAAAGGGUAUAUAUUAUGCUUGUUGUAUAAGCAUGUUGAUAUAUAACAUAUAUGAUAUAUAAGUAUGUCCAUGCCUGAGUAGGUCAUUCAAUGAUGAACUUGAUUAGUAAAAGAAUAACAUAAGAAUCUUUAAAAGACGAGAAAAUCCAUUUAAUUAGUAUCACAGAGGGGUGGGUGUGUGUGUAGUCUUUUGGCAUGUGACUGUGGUGAACCCUACAUGUGGAUAUAGAUUUUGCCGGAUGUGGGGAAGUGAUGAGAACUUUGAAUUGUAUAUUGUGUACUGCAAAUUGUGAACUGUAAACUAAAUUGGAAUGUAUUCACGUGGUAGAAGGGAUAUUUACUGCUCUCGUUGAUGUCAGUGAAAACAGCAUCGCACUAUGAAACUCUUAAAAGAUGAAAAAAAUACAAAUUAUAAACCUUAAUAGAAAGGUAACUGAGAAUGAAAGUAUAAUUGAAAAGUGAUAAGUUAACAAUGUACGGUGAAAGUCAUAUUGACAUAUGCAAUGAUAAGUAAUUCAGUAAUAAGUGCAAGUGAUUGUCAGAAAAUUCAAGUGCAAGUGCUAUGAAACUAGUGAAUAAUUUCAUUUAUUUAUGUAGAUAUGAUGUUAGAGUAUUUUUGAUGUCUAUGAAAUCAUAUGUGAAAGAGUGAAUUAUUGAGAUAUGUGACAUUAUGGUUACUACAUUGCUUGAGAAUUGGUUUUAAGAACAUAUGCAUAUAUUUUGUAAAUCUUGUGUGGUUGAGUGUUUGCAUGUCUUUGUUAUGGGCACUGUCUUUUUUCCUUACUAAGUUCGUGAAGCUCAUUCCAAUUAAAACCCCCAAUGCAGAUUAGUCAAAAUCAAGAGCAAGUUUAAGGUCGAAGGAAGACUUUGAAGAACCUUUAAUGAUAGUGAAAGUUGAUCUUGUAAAGUCAGUUUAAUUAUAUUAUAGUGAUGUAGUGUAAAAAAAUUUAUAAGCCUUACGAUUUGUAAUUCCAUAUAGAGGAUGAUUGAAUCUUAAGUUUUCGCUUAUUACUGGAUAAAUUUAUCAGGUUAUGUGUGUGGAAUAGUGCUCAUUUCUCAACAGAAAAAGCGGGUCGUUACAAUUGGUAUCAAAGCCCACGUUCCUAGGAACCAUCCCUUAUAUCAUGAGGUUUAGGAUUCUUAUAACGUUUAUAGUCUAAAGAAAUUAGAUAAUACACACCUUAGGAGAUGUUUUGGAACUUCCUCCAAAACAUUUGUGAAUGUGAAGAAGUAGGAUUAUAGUUCCAAAAGCCUAAAAAGAUAGACGUUACAAGAGUUAGAAUGUGAUAAAUCUAGAGAUCAAAGAAUUAGGGCUUUUGUGAUAUCCCAGGUGCCAAUUAAGGCAAAUGGGUGUUAGAUACAAAUUCAGAAUGACGAGUGCAUGAUAAUAUUUAUGCAGCAGAAUCAAACCUUAAAAAAUCCCUUACAAAUAUAUAUAUGUUCCAAAUACAUGCAUUACUGAGGCCAGAAGUGGCAACAAAAUACAAAACAUAAAGGCCACUUCUUUCACUAUGCUACUGGAAUUCAUCAGAAUGCAAGAACAGUCAUGCACUCACACUUAUGCAUCCACGGGAUCCUCAUAGACUUAUAAGGGUAAGUCUGCCUACGGUUCAUCAUUUUCUUCCUCAUCUAGGAGGAAGAUGGAAUGAAUGUUUUUCAUAUGCUCAGUAAGGACAAUAGUAUUAAAUUAACCUCGUAAGAUUUCAAAAUUUUUUUAUUUUAUCUCACCAUUUAGCUUCGAUUUUACCUAACUCAUCAUUAGAAAAAGAAAACAUUUAUUUGAAUAUCAAAAUAGUACAUUAGCACAUAAAAUCAUAUAUCAUGCCAAAUAAUAGAGAAAAUUAAAUAAAUCAUGAAAUGCACAGAUAUUUCGUGUCAUGCUUCGCGAAGUCGUUACAAACUUCCAUCUCUAAGGGCAGAUAUAGAUUUCUAACUGCCUAAGUAAAAUGACCAGAUCAGAUAGAGAUACAACAAUUUUCUCAUGCCCACUUCUGGCUAGCCAAACCAUGGUAUGAUCUAUGAGCAUGACCGUACUAACUAUAGUGGUCCUAAUAGAUAUCUAUAAUCACGACAUUACUUAACCACUAGUGGCCCGUACAGAUAGUGCGAUACUACUCUCGUCAGAAGGCACGCCGUCAUCCACUAAGAGUGGUCCUCUUACGUCUUUCCAGACCAGAUAAAGGAGGAAAAAAUAAAUACCCCGAAGGGCAAGGGGAAACGAUACCCCUCAGAGAUAAAAAGCCUAACAAGAUACUUGAUGUAAUAUGCAUGUUAAUACAGAUACACUUCAGACCAUGCAGGCUUCAUUCCACUUUUCUCUUUUUUAUUUUUUUUUUACUUUUACUAUUAUGAACUACAUGUUACAUAUAUUACAUGCAAAUUCAUCAAAUGUCAGUAAUUCACAUAGCAUGUUUGAAAAUUAGAACAAUUCGACUCAAUUGAACAUAAAGGCAUGUAAAACAGACAAAAUAACAAUCAUAUUAAAUUUUUUUAUCUAAAAAAUACUCCUUAAGAUGUUGAAAGUAAUACUAGAGUUCUUACCGAAACUUUGAUGUUUUCUUCUUCACCAUUUUCCUUUCUUUCUCUUCUUCUCUCACUAAUUUACUAUCUCUCUCUCUUUCUCUCUCUCUCUAAAUCUUUGAGAAAUGGAAGAAGUUGAAGUGCGGAGAGGAACAGAAAGAGAAGGGCAAUUUAUAGAAUAUUUGAACCAUUGGAUUCGCACCAAGUUGCAAAAUUAGAUGAAGAGAGAUGGGGAAAGAUUCUUGGCAUAAAAAAUGAGGGAGGAAAAUUUCCUUCGACCUGCACGAGGCAGUCUAUGAUGGUGCAUGACUUUCCUCACGACAAGUAGAGGAGUCUAAGUGGCCUAUGAUCUGCGCGAUUAGAAACCAGAAGGAGAAUCAUAUGACAAAAUGCAUUCAAAGAAGAAGUAGAUCCACUACAGUUGGUCGCACAAUUCUGUUUAUCUCUGGCUUUUUCUGGUGCGAUUUCACCAUAUACGUGCUGGAUCUGAGUGCACAAGGAAUUUUGUGGUGAAUUUCAGUCGAUUCACAUAGUUUUGUGGCGGUGUACGAUGGCCAAAUGGUGCUCUGGUGAUGAUGAUCCAGUAGCAAUUCUCUGCAGUGAUGCAUAGGAAAUCAAGGAUACGCGUAUAGUGGCGUGUGGUGAUUCUGGUGACUAGGAUCGCACUACGAUAAAACUCGAUCUUCUUUUUGUAUUCUAAUUAUUUUUAUAAGUGUCCAUCAUUAACCCACAUAUUUUUUAUUUAUAAAUGAGAGAAUUAUUUAAACAGUAUCGGAUUUAGAAGAGAGCAUAGACCUGAGGUAAUAAGGAUUCCAAAACUUGUCAAUUCAAAUGUAGGUAAGGGAUUAGGUUAGAUUCAAUCAAAAACCCCAUUAUUUUUAUGAAACUUUGUUUUCCAUUAAAAUGAAUUUUUACAGACUUUACAAACUAUUUAAGUUUUCUAACACGAGUUUUAUGAACUCACUUAUGUGCAUGUGUGCAAUUGUAUAUGAUUGGAGACCUACAUGAUGUUGUGUAUGACAUAUGUUUAUGUAUUCAUAUUGUUACUUGUAUAUAUAUGUAGAUUUUAUGCAUGCUAAGUAUCGAGUUAUAAGUGUGUGUGAUACAUAUAUAUGUAUAAUUGUAGGUUGUGUAACGUGUAUAUAUAUGAGUGAACAACUUGUAUGUGCCUACUUAUAGGAUACACAUAUGAAUUGUGUAAAUAUACAAGUAUAUUCAUGUUAUAUGUGUUACAUGUACAUAUAUAUUUAUUUGAGUUGAUAACUGUGUAUGUAAAGGGUAUAUAUUAUGCUUAUUGUAUAAGCAUGUUGAUGUAUAACAUAUAUGAUAUAUAAGUAGCUCCAUGCCUAAGUAGGUCAUCCAAUGAUGAACUUGAUUAGUAAAAGAAUAACAUAAGAAUCUUUAAAAGAUGAGAAAUCCAUUUAAUUGGUAUCAAUAAAGGGUGGGUGUGUGUGUAGUCUUUUGGCAUGUGACUGUGGUGAACCCUAACUGUGGAUACGAAUUUUGCCGGAUGUGGUGAAGCAAUGAGAACUUUGAAUUGUAUAUUGUGUACUGUAAAUUAUGAACUGUGAAUUAAAUUGGAAUGUAUUCAUAUGGUAGAGGGGAUCCUUACUGCUUUCGUUGAUGCCAGCAAAAACGGCAUCGCACUAUGAAACUCUUAAAAGACAAAAAAAUACAAAUUAUAAACCUUAAUAGAAAGGUAACUGAGAAUGAAAGUAUAA
rnacentral:lncRNA from 1 species